rnacentral:rRNA from 1 species
UGAAGGCGGCAGCACGGACUUCGGUCUGGUGGCGGUACCGUGAGCAGGGUGAGUAAUGUAUCAGACUAAUGUCGGGGGAUAACUACGCGAAAGCGUAGCUAAUACCGCAUACGCCCUUCGGGGAAAGCGGGGGAUAACUUCGGGACUCCACGCUAUGGCAGCCGAUAUCGGUUAAGCUAGUUGGUGCAGGGUAACGGCUCGCAAGGCGACGAUCAGCAGCUGCGAUUUAAGAGAGGACGACCAGCACACUGGGACUGGAGCCGGCAGACUCCUACGGGAGGCAGCAGUGGGGAAUUUUGGACAAUGGGGAAACCUGAUCCAGCCAUCCCGCGUGUGCGAUGAAGGCCUUCGGGUUGUAAAGCUUUUGGCAGGAAAGAAACGGCACGGGAUAAUACCCCGUGCAACUGACGGUACCUGCAGAAGUCAGCACCGGCUAACUACGUGCCAGCAGCCGCGGUAAUACGUAGGGUGCAGCGUUAAUCGGAAUUACUGGGCGUAAAGCGUGCCAGGCGGUUCGGAAAGAAGAUGCCGAAGUCCAGAGCUUAACUUUGGAACUGCAUUUUUAACUACCGAGCUAGAGUGUAUGGGAGGUGGGAAUUCGCGUGUAGUGAAAUGCGUAGAUCAUGCCGGAGGAACACCGAUGGCGAAGGCAGCCUCCUGGGAUAGCGCACUGACGCUCUUUUGAAAGCGUGGGAGCAAACAGGAUUAGACUAUUACAGUAGUCCCGCACAACGAUGUCCUUCAGCUGUUGGGCCUUCGGGCCUUGGUAGCGCAGCUAACGCGUGAAGUUGACCUGGGAAGUACGGUCGCAAGAUUAAAACUCAAAGGUCGGCGGACUGCCUGACAGUGGAUGAUGCCGGUUCAGACUGGUACAACGCGAAAACCUUACCUACCCUUGACAUGUCUGGAAUCCCGAAGAAGAGAUUUGGAGUGCUCGCAAAGGAGCGGAGCGUACGGUGCUGCAUGGCUGUCGUCAGCUCGUGUCGUGAGAUGUUGGGUUAAGUCCGCAACGAGCGCAACCCUUGUCAUUGAACACUGCGAGCGUAAUGAGACUGCCGGUGACAAACCGGAGGAAGGUGGGGAUGACGUCAAGUCCUCAUGGCCCUUAUGGGUAGGGCUUCACACGUCAUACAAUGGUCGGGACAGAGGGUCGCCAACCCGCGAGGAGCCAAUCCCAGAAACCCGAUCGUAGUCCGGAUCGCAGUCUGCAACUCUCGACUGCGUGAAGUCGGAAUCGCUAGUAAUCGCGGAUCAGCAUGUCGCGAGUGAAUACGUUCCCGGGUCUUGUACACCGCCCCGUCACACCAUGGGAGUGGGUUUUACCAAGUAGUUAGCCUAACCGUAAGGAGGGCGAUUACCACGGUAGGAUUCGCAGCUGGGGUGAAGUCGCUAACAAGACCAGC